CCCGCAAAAUAUGAGAGAACAAGACGAUACCAUAAACAAACAAUAGUCGCGUGAGAAUAACAGUUACAGCGCCAUUAUUCCCUCGUGGCACGGAACGUAAUUUUCUUAUAGGGGUAAAAAUGUCAUUCCAAAUGUGAUCGAGGGAGAUGUCUUGUUGCGCAAGCUAAAUGGAACUAACGGCACCGCUUGUAACCAACCGUUUAUAACGUUGGAGAGAGAGAGAGAGAGAGAGGACGACUCUGCUUUCUUCCACAUUUCCCCAAGAAAACUUUUCUCUCUCUCUCAUUUUCUCGCACUUUCUUUCCACUUGGUGAUGGCGGCGCAGGUAGAGAUCGAACUUGACAACGGGGAAAUUCUCGAUCCACUCUCCGACGACGCCUCCUCCUCGUCCUCCACCGACUCAACGAUUCUUCUCCGCGAAGGAGACCAAGAGCACGACGUCAUCACGAAAUGUUUCCUCUUCGGCUUCGGCGCCACUCUCGCUAACGCCACCACGAUCGUCACUAUACGUAAGAAAUCUCCCAACGCGAUCACCACGAGAGCCAAGUCUCUGGCCUUUCGCAUCUUCACGGAAGCCAUGGCGAGGAAGAACGGCGGAGAUCCCAACGUGAAAUACGGUUGGUACGCUGGCUCCAGAGAAGAUCUCGAACGCAUCAUCACGUACGGAUUCAGCAGCCGCGAGAUCGACGAUGAUUCGUCUAACGGAAUCGGAAUCCAUCUCGUUCCUUCUAAGUUCUCCCUCUUCGCAGCGGAAGCUACAGAGGAAGACGAAGAAGGCGUAAGGCAUCUUCUCUUAUGCCGUUUGAUUCUUGGGAAGCCUGAGGAGAUCAUCUCCGGGUCUAAACAGACGUAUCCGAGCUCGAUUGAAUUCGAUUCUGGUGUGGAUGAUGUGCAGAAUCCUAGAAAGUAUGUCAUAUGGAGCUCUACCAUGAACUCGUACAUCUUGCCUACUUAUAUCGUCACUUUCAAGUCUCCUCGUCUCACAGUUAUAAGUAACGGUGGUUCUCCGGCUAGACCGAGCUCGCCGCGUGUUAGUUUUGAUGCUCUGAUGUCGUCGCUGUCCAAGUCGAUGGAUACUUUAAGAAUGAACUUGAUCAUCAGAACUUUCGAUGAUUUUAGGAAAAGGAAGAUUCAGAGAGAUCAAUUGGUUCGGAAGAUGAGAGAAGUGGCUGGAGACAACCUUUUGGCUCAGAUUAUCAAAAACCACAGAGACAAAAACAAGGUCAGGGUUGUUUAACACAGGGAUUGUUCAAAAGGGAUAUCUUUUCAUGUGAAACUCCACAUCAGCUUAUAUACCUUUUUGACGUUUGUUGUUUCAACUCACGCGAAAGAAAGUUUCACACGUGUGAUGCGUAGAAUGGUGGGAUAGAAGUACACACGUCAUACACAUGCAUAGACAAAAGCUCAAUCAAUUGCGGAAACUAUAUGAAGAGUUUUAAAGCUUUUUUGUUUUCUCCUUUCUGUUCGCUGUACAAACAGAUGAUCAUCCCUUUAUGAUAUGAACUUUGAGAAAUUUGUGAAGACCAUUCUUUCACGCAAUGAAGUUUUCUAAAUUUCCAGAAAUUAUCAGUGAA